GAGAUAAAGAGCUGAAGUCAGCAGGUCUUUAUUGGAGCAGCAGCAUGUUGGCAUUAAUAUUAAUGAGAGCUCUUUAACUGCUUCUGUUGGACUGUUCCAACCUGCAUCCUGUUGGAUCAGCUCACAUCUUUCUAUUCUUUAUCCAGGUUGAUUGACUGCGGUUUGUCAAUGAUCAGCUGUGCUUCUUUGGCCUCAGCUCUGAAGUCAAACCCCUCCCAUCUGACUGAACUGGACCUGAGCAACAACAACCUGAAGGAGUCAGAUGUUCAGCAGCUGCAGGAUCUUGUAGAGAGUCCAGACUACAAACUGCAGACUCUGGAGUGGUGGAGGAUCUGAUCUUGGUGGAGGAGAGAAGCUGAUCUGUGUCCUGAUGAUCCUCAGAGGUUGAAGCUGCAGCAGUUUGAGUUUAAAGAGACUCUGACUGGAUCCUGAUGAUGAACUCUGAGUUUAGAGAUUUGUUUGUUUUCACUCAUUUUUUCUCUUUGUUUUCAUCGUCUCCAUAAUAUCAUGUUGAUAUUUUUCCAUCCAAAUUAAAAUAGAGAAUAAAAUGAUCUAUAACCUGUGAAAAGAUUAAUUUUAAAAAGAAUCCUGAACAGUUUUAUCAAACUUUUAAUGAACUUUAAUGUUAAAUUUAGCUGAUGCUGUUGUAAACCUCAGAAAGUUCUCUCUCUUUGAUUUAAUAUUCCCACUGAACUUCCUGGAUCAGAUCUGAAAAGCUGCUCUGUCUUUCUGAUUCUCUGAGAGCUGCAGCAGUUUCAGAUGCUGAGAUCUUUUUUCUUUGAGUGUUUCCUCUAUUUCUCUCCAUUCAUUCUGUCUCCAUGUUCACCUGCUGAAACCUUUAGAUCCUGCUGAAAAUCUUUGUUGUUCCUGCUGAUGAACCACCACUGUGGCUCAUUGUUAGCAGGUUAGCUAAAGCAGGUGUGGAGCGAUCCAGGACCUCAGAUGGACUCAGGAAGCCCUUCCAGUCCGGCCCCAGCAGGGUGGAGGAGGGCUGCUGUCAUUAAGGAGGAGCUG